rfam:Glycine max cultivar Williams 82 chromosome 2, whole genome shotgun sequence.
GUCUUGGUGGUGAAAUGAUAGACAUGCGAGACUCAAAAUCCCGUGCUAGAGAGCGUGGAGGUUCAAGUCCUAUUCAAGACA